rnacentral:rRNA from 1 species
CCUACGGGAGGCAGCAGUGGGGAAUCUUGCGCAAUGGGCGAAAGCCUGACGCAGCCAUGCCGCGUGAAUGAUGAAGGUCUUAGGAUUGUAAAAUUCUUUCACCGAGGACGAUAAUGACGGUACUCGGAGAAGAAGCCCCGGCUAACUUCGUGCCAGCAGCCGCGGUAAUACGAAGGGGGCUAGCGUUGCUCGGAAUUACUGGGCGUAAAGGGAGCGUAGGCGGAUAGUUUAGUCAGAGGUGAAAGCCCAGGGCUCAACCUUGGAAUUGCCUUUGAUACUGGCUAUCUUGAGUACGGAAGAGGUAUGUGGAACUCCGAGUGUAGAGGUGAAAUUCGUAGAUAUUCGGAAGAACACCAGUGGCGAAGGCGACAUACUGGUCCGUUACUGACGCUGAGGCUCGAAAGCGUGGGGAGCAAACAGGAUUAGAUACCCUGGUAGUCCACGCUGUAAACGAUGAGUGCUAGUUGUCGGCAUNCAUNCAUGUCGGUGACGCAGCUACGCAUAAGACACNCCGCCGUCGGGUAGGUACGGUCGCGAGAAUAAACUAACGAAGAAGUAGACGGCGUGAGACGUGCCGACGGACGACGACGAGGGAGGAGG